GGGGCUUAAAUAGGCAACGGAGCCCGGCGCAGUUAUGGUGGCAGGUGUCCCUAGGCCAACCAGUGCCCACCAUGUGUCCCGCGUGUCCCACUCACCGCGACAUAGGGUUGACCGUUCGCAAAUUUUUAUGGCGUGACGCUUAGGAUCGCGUCCUGGUGGAAAUUUCGAAAAGACUUUUUGGGUCGCUAUAAUCGGAAAAAGGCUCCAGCACGCGCACAUUUAAUGCCAAAAUAUCUGGGGACGAUCGUGCACAGAAUUCAAAGGGGGUAACUUCGGCUGCGAAAUUUUCUCUGUACUUCAUUCGAAAUUCGAACUCGAAAGUAGGGGGACUGGUGUUGGGUAUAAAAUACCCCCCAGUCGAAGUUCGUGACGGGGGUGACCCUCCAGGGGAUCCAGCUGACAAGCUUCGUCCGGACUCCUAUGGGAGCCGAACUCCGUCUUCUACUUC
rnacentral:lncRNA from 1 species